GACGUAGGGGGCAAGCGUUACCCGGAAUUACUAGGCGUAAAGGGCAGGUAGGCGGAUCUACGAGUUUUUUGUUAAAGGCUACGGCUUAACUGUAGUAAGGCAGGAGAUACUGUAGGUCUGGAAUGCGGUAGGGGAAGACAGAAUUCCUGGUGUAGCGGUGGAAUGCGCAGAGAUCAGGAGGAAUACCGAAGGCGAAGGCAGUCUUCUAGGCCGUAAUUGACGCUUAACUGCGAAGGUGUGGGGAUCAAACAGGAUUAGAUACCCUGGUAGUCCACACAGUAAACGAUAAUCACUAGAUGUCGGAUUCUAGAUGGAUUCGGUGUCGGAGCUAACGCGAUAAGUGAUUCGCCUGGGGAGUACGAUCGCAAGGUUGAA
rnacentral:rRNA from 1 species